rnacentral:rRNA from 1 species
UUAAGUUAGAAAGGGCGCACGGUGGAUGCCUUGACACUAGGAGUCGAUGAAGGACGGGACUAACGCCGAUAUGCUUCGGGGAGCUGUAAGUAAGCUUUGAUCCGAAGAUUUCCGAAUGGGGAAACCCACCAUACGUAAUGGUAUGGUAUCCUUAUCUGAAUACAUAGGGUAAGGAAGACAGACCCAGGGAACUGAAACAUCUAAGUACCUGGAGGAAGAGAAAGCAAAUGCGAUUUCCUGAGUAGCGGCGAGCGAAACGGAACAUAGCCCAAACCAAGAGGCUUGCCUCUUGGGGUUGUAGGACAUUCUAUACGGAGUUACAAAGGAACGAGGUAGACGAAGCGACCUGGAAAGGUCCGUCGUAGAGGGUAACAACCCCGUAGUCGAAACUUCGUUCUCUCUUGAAUGUAUCCUGAGUACGGCGGAACACGUGAAAUUCCGUCGGAAUCUGGGAGGACCAUCUCCCAAGGCUAAAUACUCCCUAGUGAUCGAUAGUGAACCAGUACCGUGAGGGAAAGGUGAAAAGCACCCCGGAAGGGGAGUGAAAGAGAUCCUGAAACCGUGUGCCUACAAAUAGUCAGAGCCCGUUAACGGGUGAUGGCGUGCCUUUUGUAGAAUGAACCGGCGAGUUACGAUCCCGUGCGAGGUUAAGCUGAAGAGGCGGAGCCGCAGCGAAAGCGAGUCUGAAUAGGGCGUUUAGUACGUGGUCGUAGACCCGAAACCAGGUGAUCUACCCAUGUCCAGGGUGAAGUUCAGGUAACACUGAAUGGAGGCCCGAACCCACGCACGUUGAAAAGUGCGGGGAUGAGGUGUGGGUAGCGGAGAAAUUCCAAUCGAACCUGGAGAUAGCUGGUUCUCCCCGAAAUAGCUUUAGGGCUAGCCUUAAGUGUAAGAGUCUUGGAGGUAGAGCACUGAUUGGACUAGGGGUCCUCAUCGGAUUACCGAAUUCAGUCAAACUCCGAAUGCCAAUGACUUAUCCUUAGGAGUCAGACUGCGAGUGAUAAGAUCCGUAGUCAAAAGGGAAACAGCCCAGACCGCCAGCUAAGGUCCCAAAGUGUGUAUUAAGUGGAAAAGGAUGUGGAGUUGCUUAGACAACUAGGAUGUUGGCUUAGAAGCAGCCACCAUUUAAAGAGUGCGUAAUAGCUCACUAGUCGAGUGACUCUGCGCCGAAAAUGUACCGGGGCUAAAUACACCACCGAAGCUGCGGAUUGAUACCAAUGGUAUCAGUGGUAGGGGAGCGUUCUAAGGACAGUGAAGUCAGACCGGAAGGACUGGUGGAGUGCUUAGAAGUGAGAAUGCCGGUAUGAGUAGCGAAAGACGGGUGAGAAUCCCGUCCACCGAAUGCCUAAGGUUUCCUGAGGAAGGCUCGUCCGCUCAGGGUUAGUCAGGACCUAAGCCGAGGCCGACAGGCGUAGGCGAUGGACAACAGGUUGAUAUUCCUGUACCACCUCUUUAUCGUUUGAGCAAUGGAGGGACGCAGAAGGAUAGAAGAAGCGUGCGAUUGGUUGUGCACGUCCAAGCAGUUAGGCUGAUAAGUAGGCAAAUCCGCUUAUCGUGAAGGCUGAGCUGUGAUGGGGAAGCUCCUUAUGGAGCGAAGUCUUUGAUUCCCCGCUGCCAAGAAAAGCUUCUAGCGAGAUAAAAGGUGCCUGUACCGCAAACCGACACAGGUAGGCGAGGAGAGAAUCCUAAGGUGUGCGAGAGAACUCUGGUUAAGGAACUCGGCAAAAUGACCCCGUAACUUCGGGAGAAGGGGUGCUUUCUUAACGGAAAGCCGCAGUGAAUAGGCCCAAGCGACUGUUUAGCAAAAACACAGCUCUCUGCGAAGCCGUAAGGCGAAGUAUAGGGGGUGACACCUGCCCGGUGCUGGAAGGUUAAGGAGAGGGGUUAGCGUAAGCGAAGCUCUGAACUGAAGCCCCAGUAAACGGCGGCCGUAACUAUAACGGUCCUAAGGUAGCGAAAUUCCUUGUCGGGUAAGUUCCGACCCGCACGAAAGGUGUAACGAUUUGGGCACUGUCUCAACCAGAGACUCGGUGAAAUUAUAGUACCUGUGAAGAUGCAGGUUACCCGCGACAGGACGGAAAGACCCCGUGGAGCUUUACUGUAGCCUGAUAUUGAAUUUUGGUACAGUUUGUACAGGAUAGGCGGGAGCCAUUGAAACCGGAGCGCUAGCUUCGGUGGAGGCGCUGGUGGGAUACCGCCCUGACUGUAUUGAAAUUCUAACCUACGGGUCUUAUCGACCCGGGAGACAGUGUCAGGUGGGCAGUUUGACUGGGGCGGUCGCCUCCUAAAGUGUAACGGAGGCGCCCAAAGGUUCCCUCAGAAUGGUUGGAAAUCAUUCGUAGAGUGCAAAGGCAUAAGGGAGCUUGACUGCGAGACCUACAAGUCGAGCAGGGACGAAAGUCGGGCUUAGUGAUCCGGUGGUUCCGCAUGGAAGGGCCAUCGCUCAACGGAUAAAAGCUACCCCGGGGAUAACAGGCUUAUCUCCCCAAGAGUCCACAUCGACGGGGAGGUUUGGCACCUCGAUGUCGGCUCAUCGCAUCCUGGGGCUGUAGUCGGUCCCAAGGGUUGGGCUGUUCGCCCAUUAAAGCGGUACGCGAGCUGGGUUCAGAACGUCGUGAGACAGUUCGGUCCCUAUCCGUCGUGGGCGUAGGAAAUUUGAGAGGAGCUGUCCUUAGUACGAGAGGACCGGGAUGGACGCACCGCUGGUGUACCAGUUGUUCUGCCAAGGGCAUAGCUGGGUAGCUAUGUGCGGAAGGGAUAAGUGCUGAAAGCAUCUAAGCAUGAAGCCCCCUCAAGAUGAGAUUUCCCAUAGCGUAAGCUAGUAAGAUCCCUGAAAGAUGAUCAGGUUGAUAGGUUCGAGGUGGAAGCAUGGUGACAUGUGGAGCUGACGAAUACUAAUAGAUCGAGGACUUAACCAU